rnacentral:misc_RNA from 1 species
AACCUAGCACACCUGCGGUGUGUACCUGCGGAAGGAUCAUUACCGAGUUUACAACUCCCAAACCCCUGUGAACAUACCUAUAUGUUGCCUCGGCGGAUCAGCCCGCGCCCCGUAAAACGGGACGGCCCGCCGCAGGAUCCACAAACUCUGUUUUUAUUGUAACUUCUGAGUAACAAAACAAAUAAAUCAAAACUUUCAGCAAUGGAUCU